GGACUACCGGGGUAUCUAAUCCUGUUCGCUCCCCACGCUUUCGUGUCUCAGCGUCAGUCUCGGUCCAGUAAGCCGCCUUCGCCACUGGUGUUCUUCUUAAUAUCUACGCAUUUCACCGCUACACUAAGAAUUCCGCUUACCUCUCCCGUACUCUAGCCGGACAGUUUCUUAUGCAGUCCCGCGGUUAAGCCGCGGGAUUUCACAUAUGACUUACUCGGCCGCCUACACACCCUUUACACCCAGUCAUUCCGGAUAACGCUCGCCCCCUACGUAUUACCGCGGCUGCUGGCAC
rnacentral:rRNA from 1 species